rnacentral:rRNA from 1 species
GACGAACGCUGGCGGCGUGCUUAACACAUGCAAGUCGAGCGAUGAAGCACCUUCGGGUGUGAAUUAGCGGCGAACGGGUGAGGAACACGUGAGAAAUCUGCCUUCAACACUGGGAUAACUCCGGGAAACCGGGGCUAAUACCGGAUAUGAAACCUGCGGGCAUCCGCGGGUUUGGAAAGUUUUUCGGUUGAAGAUGAUCUCGCGGCCUAUCAGCUUGUUGGUGAGGUAAUGGCUCACCAAGGCGACGACGGGUAGCCGGCCUGAGAGGGCGACCGGCCACACGGGGACUGAGACACGGCACAGACUCCUGCGGGAGGCAGCAGUGGGGAAUAUUGGGCAAUGGAGGAAACUCGGACCAAGCGACGCCGCGUGCGGGAUGAAGGCCUUCGGGUUGUAAGCCGCUUUCAGCAGGGAAGAAGCGAAAGUGACGGUACCUGCAGAAGAAGCACCGGCUAACUAUGUGCCAGCCGCCGCAGUAA